rnacentral:rRNA from 1 species
CCCUACGGGGCGCAGCAGUGGGGAAUAUUGCACAAUGGGGGAAACCCUGAUGCAGCGACGCCGCGUGGGUGACGAAGUAUUUCGGUAUGUAAAGCCCUAUCAGCAGGGAAGAAGAUGACAGUACCUGACUAAGAAGCCCCGGCUAACUACGUGCCAGCAGCCGCGGUAAUACGUAGGGGGCAAGCGUUAUCCGGAUUUACUGGGUGUAAAGGGAGCGUAGACGGCGGCGCAAGUCCGGAGUGAAAGCCCACGGCCCAACCGUGGGACUGCUCUGGAAACUGUGCGGCUUGAG